rnacentral:rRNA from 1 species
UGGGGAAUAUUGCACAAUGGGCGAAAGCCUGAUGCAGCAACGCCGCGUGAGCGAUGAAGGCCUUCGGGUUGUAAAGCUCUGUCUUUUGGGACGAUAAUGACGGUACCAAAGGAGGAAGCCACGGCUAACUACGUGCCAGCAGCCGCGGUAAUACGUAGGUGGCAAGCGUUGUCCGGAUUUACUGGGCGUAAAGGAUGCGUAGGCGGAUUUUUAAGUGAGAUGUGAAAACCCUAAGCUUAACUUGGGGACUGCAUUUCAUACUGGAAAUCUAGAGUGCGGGAGAGGAGAAUGGAAUUCCUAGUGUAGCGGUGAAAUGCGUAGAGAUUAGGAAGAACACCAGUGGCGAAGGCGAUUCUCUGGACCGUAACUGACGCUGAGGCAUGAAAGCGUGGGUAGCAAACAGGAUUAGAUACCCUGGUAGUCCACGCCGUAAACGAUGAGUACUAGGUGUAGGAGGUAUCGACCCCUUCUGUGCCGCAGUUAACACAAUAAGUACUCCGCCUGGGAAGUACGAUCGCAAGAUUAAAACUCAAAGGAA